NCACUGCUGAGGAGUUCCACAAUAGGACGAAACGGCCGUCCAGUGC
rnacentral:hammerhead_ribozyme from 1 species